GGCGAGGGGAGUGAAAAAGAACCUGAAACCGUGUACGUACAAGCAGUGGGAGCACGCUUAGGCGUGUGACUGCGUACCUUUUGUAUAAUGGGUCAGCGACUUAUAUUCUGUAGCAAGGUUAACCGAAUAGGGGAGCCGAAGGGAAACCGAGUCUUAACUGGGCGUUAAGUUGCAGGGUAUAGACCCGAAACCCGGUGAUCUAGCCAUGGGCAGGUUGAAGGUUGGGUAACACUAACUGGAGGACCGAACCGACUAAUGUUGAAAAAUUAGCGGAUGACUUGUGGCUGGGGGUGAAAGGCCAAUCAAACCGGGAGAUAGCUGGUUCUCCCCGAAAGCUAUUUAGGUAGCGCCUCGUGAAUUCAUCUCCGGGGGUAGAGCACUGUUUCGGCAAGGGGGUCAUCCCGACUUACCAACCCGAUGCAAACUGCGAAUACCGGAGAAUGUUAUCACGGGAGACACACGGCGGGUGCUAACGUCCGUCGUGAAGAGGGAAACAACCCAGACCGCCAGCUAAGGUCCCAAAGUCAUGGUUAAGUGGGAAACGAUGUGGGAAGGCCCAGACAGCCAGGAUGUUGGCUUAGAAGCAGCCAUCAUUUAAAGAAAGCGUAAUAGCUCACUGGUCGAGUCGGCCUGCGCGGAAGAUGUAACGGGGCUAAACCAUGCACCGAAGCUGCGGCAGCGACGCUGAUGCGUUGUUGGGUAGGGGAGCGUUC
rnacentral:rRNA from 1 species